AAACAUACUGCCUGUCCAUGAAAUUACAGCACACAGUUAGAUGAUUUCAUUAUUUCUUUACUUUCUUUUAACACAGAGCACCGUCACCUAAAACGCCAGACCUUAGUGUUGAUGAUGUAGAAAGCAUAAGGGCUUUCAAAAAGGAAAGCAAACGGCAGCGCAAGCUGAGACAGCAACGGGAGGAGUACCUCCAACUGCAGCUGAACUCUCCAGACCAGUCAGGGGGUCAAAGGUCAGCAGGUCAAGGGUCAGCGAAGAGGAUAGGGAAGCCUGGAUUCCUUCCGGCGAUACGACAAGAUGAUGAUGGUGAUGACGGGGAUGAGGAGGCUCCCCCAGAGAGUUUGGCCGAUCUGGUCAGGAUGCAAUCUUCGGUCGUGUUUGACUCUGAAACACCAGAUGAUACAACCAAAUGCUGAUGAGGUGUUUCUCUCUUCGCAUUUUUACGCCUUGAGGAACAAAACUAUACGCGACCCAGCCUCCUUCAAGUACAAUCUGAUCUUCAGCAGGAGCCUGCCAGACCUGCCUACACAAGUGACGCGGUUGUAUAGAAAUUGGGUUAAAAUCUUACACCAGGGCCCCGUCUUACAAAGAGUUGAUAUCAAUCGCAACUUAUUUGCUAUUGAUAUCAAUUGCAACUAUGAACAUAAGAGAUAGGAGACUGCAAACUUGUGAUUGAUUUUGAUCAAUCGUAGCUCUUUGUAAGACGGGGUCCAGAAUUCAUAAAAGCAUAUCAAGUGCAAAUACUGAACCCUGACUAAGUGGAUAAACUUAGUUCAUCUAUGGAGUGCCAAUUGUCAACCUCUUCAUCCCAUCAAUUUCUAUUCUGUGACCAAGUGAACAACUAAUAAUCAUGUCAAUUUGGAAUCAAUUUGUCAUUUUCAUUUCAUUACUAGAUUUAUUUCAUUUUCUAAUUUUAUCACAAAAUUACAGUAAUUUUUAAGGAAUAAAGAGGUUGACACUGUCAUCCAGUGGCCCUCAAGCUAGGGACAUAGAUUAAUGGAUUGAUAUAGAGGUUGAUGCUUGGCACUCCUUAAUUCAGUGGUCUGUAAGUUGUACCAGUUUUAUAGUCUGCUUUUAUGAAUACAUCCUUUAACAUCUUUUUAGAGCAAGAAGGGCAUUAACUCAUAUACUUUAACAGAGUUAACACCCUUUUGGCUCUAAACAUACAAUAUAUACAUUUACUUCAAACAUUACUCAAAUAUGACUCCCAUUUACAUGCUGCAGGAUUUGAUUUGAUAAUUCCGUUUUAAAACAUAGCAUGCCAACCAUUCCUAGUUUGGAGGAAUAUGAUUCCUAUUUUUUGCCGUCAAGCUAUAAUUGUUCUGAACCCUAGAUUCCUCUCUUUUUCUGAAAUAUUCUGUCUGAAAAGUAUACAAGAUAGACUGUAUUCCUAAUUUUGUCUUGUGAGAUUCCUAGUUUGUAAUGUAAAAGCUAGGUUGGCAGGUAUGCUAAAACAUUAUUUAUUGAUGUACAAUUUCUUAUGGUACUUUUACUUCAGCCUGUCAGUUUCUAUUAUAUUGUGCAGCCGGAGUGCCAUUCGCUACAAAAAUGUAUAGAGAUUACUGUGCAUCUACUUGGAGCUGUAUCAUAUUUCAGGAGUCCUCUGUCACAUUGUUAAUAUUGUGUAUUUAUUAUUUUCCACUGUGUGUAAUCUUGCAGUAAGGCUGAUUUGUAUUCAUUAUUUACAUUUUUAUUUGUUUGCUUUAAAGGAAUUCUCAUUGUUAGUAUUUUGGAGUUUCUCAACAUUUGCACUUUUUGUAAUGUUAUCAAAUUGAAUGUACAAAUCUUUGUUCAGUACUUUAUUACAAAUUAUUUCAUUCACCUGUUACAAAUAAUUGUACAUCAGUACCAGUAGUCAGUAUGCAAAUUACGUACAUUACAUUAGUUGGACAAGCCAUAAUGUUUGUCCUUCCUAUCAGAAAUUCAUGUAUGUGUGUGUGUGUGUAAUUGGGUUUUUACAGACGUGUAUCAAUCAGAUAUGAUGAUUUACAGUUGUACGUCUGUGGACCGACCUUUAACGUCACCAUUCAAAAGAUGUUACUCAGUUUUGAACCUGCGCCCUCGGCUGAAUCAGUUUGUAACUUGUAUGUUAGUUGGAUUACAGGCGCACGCCACAAUGCCUAGUUGUAUGUAAUUCGCAUUCUGACUAUUUAACUAAACUAGUUAUUACAGCAAAAUCACAUAUAAUGCAAGCUUGUCAUAGUGAUUUAUUUUUACAGCCAAACAAUUGCAUUGAGUGUAUUAAGUUAGUUGAGAAGUAUGCUGCAAGUAGCUAUUACAUGACUAUACUAAGAGUGAACACUGAGGUUUCAUAUUAAGUUUCAUUUUAGACUUACAAGCCAAAUGAUUUUCACAGUACUUUAUUUUGUUUCUCUUCUUUUCUUUACACCAUAAGAAACAAAGUCAGGGCAUUUUAUUUUGUAUGUAUUCUUUUAGAAGUAUCUUUUAAAUCAUUUAUAUUCAAAAAAUAAAAUCAACUAUCAGAUUCCCAGAAUGUCAUCUCAGGUACAAUAUUUUAUAGAGAAAAUUUAAUUCAUGUCUUAUCAAUUUUAACAAUUUCAAUGAAUUAUCUAUUUUUAUAAAAAUUCAAAGAGUUUUCAUAUUUGUUCUAGAAAAAGUGAAUUGUGAUUUGUGUGUAUCUUUUAAUCAUGCAGGAAAGGAAAUUGUUAAAGGGCUUAAUCAAUCACAUGUCCUUUAAAUUGGCAACUUUGAUAUUUUUCUUCUAUUGCAACAUAUUAUGAAACAGUUAGUACAUUGUGUCUGAAAAGUAUAUAUAGACUGAAACUAGAAGUAAAAAGAUUUGUUUUUCAAAUGGUUUUUAAACUUGUCAACAUGUUACCAAUUCCUGGUGUUGAACACUAGAAGGUGAUGUAAAAAAGCAGCACAGGAUGUGCACAUAAAUUAAAUAUCUCUAUCUGCUCAUUAAUUUGGUUUAUACCAUAUUUUCUAGAGUUCUAAAUAAAAAGUUAUUGAGAAAAACAACAAGAUUUAGCAAUUCAUUGCCCUGUGGAAAGUGAAUCAUGCAUCAAUUCAAGUUUAGUUCAUCGGUCAAAGAGCUAUACAACAGCUCUAUGUAAAUGGACUUGUGAAUGUAUUUUAUUAUUUAUUGAAGCAUUUAAAAAUAAUGUAAAUUCCAUGUACUUGUAUAUUAUAUAAUUCUGCUUUUAUUUAUUCUGAUGACUUCGUAUUACGUUGUAUAAAUAUGUGUAUGCUGGAGCAGCAUUUUGAAAUUCCAGCCAUAAUCGGGCAUUCCCAAACCUUUUUUAUGUUAAAUUAUAAUGGUGUAAAUAAUGAUUAGAAGUUUUGUUUUGUUUUGUUUGUGCUGUGGACUUUCAGGCUUUACAUAGUUAUAAUUUAUGAUUCGUUUCACUGUUUGUGCUGUUAAAAUUCAGACUUUAUACAGUUUUAUUUAAUGAUUCUUGAAUGCCAUAUUCUUUCUGUCUGUUUAUAUGGCAAAGUUUCUGAAUAGUUUGAUGCAUCUUUAACAGUGAAUCAUCUCUGUUUCAUAAAUGUUGCUAUCAAUAACAAAUGCUAACUACAUGUAUCUAUGACAAAUUCGCUCUCAGCCAAACAGAAGCCAUGAUUUCAGUAGCUUAUAACAGUAGCUUGUAACUUGUCCUUAAGUUUUAUGAAUUUCUAAAUUUCCAUGACAAAUUUAGUCUCGGCCAAUCAGGUGCCAUUAUUUCAGUAGCUUAUAACAGCUAUUGUAACUUGCUAUUGAUAACAAGUUUUAUGAAAAAGGGCCAUGAUCCAAAUGAUGAUUAAUCAUCAAACCAAGAACCACCUUUAUAAUACUGCCUCUCAAAUAUUGAUUUUGAAGGGGAAAAAAUGUCUUUGUGCUUAUAAUUGAAUCGUAUUAGCAUCAUUCCUCUCUAUAGAGAAUUAAUACACCUUGACUAUAUACAAGUGUACUAUUAGUGAUUUAAUGUGUGUGAGUAAUCUGUACAUAGGAGAUUAUAAAUAGCUCUGUAUGUGUGUAUAUGUACUCUCAUGUAAAUUAUUCUGAGAAAUCAUGUACAAAUAAAUAUCUUGAAAUAUGAA
rnacentral:lncRNA from 1 species